rnacentral:rRNA from 1 species
GAUGAACGCUGGCGGCGUGCUUAACACAUGCAAGUCGAACGAAGCAUUUAAGACAGAUUUUUCGGAAUGAAGUUUUUAUGACUGAGUGGCGGACGGGUGAGUAACGCGUGGGUAACCUGCCUCACACAGGGGGAUAGCAGUUGGAAACGACUGGUAAUACCGCAUAAGCGCACAGCUUCGCAUGAAGCGGUGUGAAAAACUCCGGUGGUGUGAGAUGGACCCGNGUCUGAUUAGGUAGUUGGUGAGGUAACGGCCCACCAAGCCGACGAUCAGUAGCCGACCUGAGAGGGUGACCGGCCACAUUGGGACUGAGACACGGCCCAGACUCCUACGGGAGCAGCAGUGGGGAAUAUUGGCACAAUGGAGGAAACUACUGAUGCAGCGACGCCGCGUGAGUGAAG